GAGGAAGGUGGGGAUGACGUCAAGUCAUCAUGGCCCUUACGACCAGGGCUACACACGUGCUACAAUGGCGCAUACAAAGAGAAGCGACCUCGCGAGAGCAAGCGGACCUCAUAAAGUGCGUCGUAGUCCGGAUUGGAGUCUGCAACUCGACUCCAUGAAGUCGGAAUCGCUAGUAAUCGUGGAUCAGAAUGCCACGGUGAAUACGUUCCCGGGCCUUGUACACACCGCCCGUCACACCAUGGGAGUGGGUUGCAAAAGAAGUAGGUAGCUUAACCUUCGGGAGGGCGCUUACCACUUUGUGAUUCAUGACUGGGGUGAAGUCGUAACAAGGUAACCGUAGGGGAACCUGC
rnacentral:rRNA from 2 species